UCCGGUUGAUCCUGCAGAGGGCACCGCUAUUGGUAUUCGCUUAAGCAUGCGAGUCGAGAGGUGAAAGACCUCGGCAUACCGCUCAGUAACACGCGGAUAAUCUGCCCUAAGGUGGAGGAUAAUCUCGGGAAACUGAGAAUAAUACUCCAUAGAUCUAGGACGCUGGAAUGCCCCUAGGUCGAAAUCCACGGAGCCUUAGGAUGAGUCUGCGGCCCAUUAGGUUGUAGUGGGGGUAACGGCCCCACUAGCCAAUGAUGGGUACGGGUGUUGGGAGACAUCGCCCGGAGAUGGAUUCUGAGACAUGAAUCCAGGUCCUACGGGAUGCAGCAGGCGCGAAACCUUCGCAAUGUAGGAAACUACGACGGGGGAAUACCAAGUGCCAGCACUUUGUGUUGGCUGUUUUCUUGUCUAAAAAACAAGGAGAGUAAAGGGCGGGUAAGAUCGGGAGCCAGCCGCCGCGGUAAUACCCGCGCCCUGAGUGGUGCUCGUUAUUAUUGGGUCUAAAACAUCCGUAGCCGGUUCUGUAAAUGCCCAGGUAAAUCGAUAGGCUUAACUUGUCGAAUUCUGGGUAGACUGCAGGGCUUGGGAUCGGGAGAGGUCAGAGGUACUUUGGGGGUAGGGGUAAAAUCCUGUAAUCCUUGAAGGACCACCGGUGGCGAAGGCGUCUGACUAGAACGACUCCGACGGUGAGGGAUGAAGCCCUGGGGCGCAAACGGGAUUAGAUACCCCGGUAGUCCAGGGUGUAAACGCUGUGGGCUUUGUGUUGGAUAUCCUACGAGGAUGUUCAGUGCCGGAGAGAAGUUGUUAAGCCCACUACCUGGGGAGUACGGUCGCAAGACUGAAACUUAAAGGAAUUGGCGGGGGAGCA
rnacentral:rRNA from 1 species